AGAGUUUGAUCAUGGCUCAGGAUGAACGCUGGCGGCAUGCCUAAGACAUGCAAGUCGAACGAGAUGGCCCAGUGAAGGUUGCGUGCUUGCACAAGACUGAAUCUGGAUCACCAUCUAGUGGCAGACGGGUGAGUAACACGUGGGUGACCUACCUUUUCGUUGGGGAUAACAGUUGGAAACGAUUGCUAAUACCGAAUAAAAUAUAAGAGCCAAUUUUAUAUUGAAAGGAGCCUUUAAAGCUUCGCGAUUAGAUGGGCCUGCGGCGUAUUAACUUGUUGGUGAGGUAACGGCUCACCAAGGUAACGAUUUUUUUUCCGAACUGAGAGGUUGAUCGGCCACACUGGGACUGAGACACGGCCCAGACUCCUACGGGAGACAGCAGUUAGGAAUAUUCGUCAAUGGGGGAAACCCUGAACGAGCAAUGCCGCGUGAGUGAUGACGGUCCUUUGGAUUGUAAAACUCUGUUGUAUGGAAAAAAUGACUAGGUUAGGAAAUGAACCUAGUGUGAUGGUACCAUACCAGAAAGCCCCGGCUAACUACGUGCCAGCAGCCGCGGUAAUACGUAGGGGGCAAGCGUUAUCCGGAUUUAUUGGGCGUAAAGCGUGUGUAGGCGGUUUGUUAAGUU
rnacentral:rRNA from 1 species